CAGCAGCCGCGGGAAUACGUAGGUGGCAAGCGUUGUCCGGAAUUAUUGGGCGUAAAGGGCUCGCAGGCGGUUUCUUAAGUCUGAUGUGAAAGCCCCCGGCUCAACCGGGGAGGGUCAUUGGAAACUGGGAAACUUGAGUGCAGAAGAGGAGAGUGGAAUUCCACGUGUAGCGGUGAAAUGCGUAGAGAUGUGGAAGAACACCAGUGGCGAAGGCGACUCUCUGGUCUGUAACUGACGCUGAGGAGCGAAAGCGUGGGGAGCGAACAGGAUUAGAUACCCCCGUAGUCCCUGUCUCUUAUAC
rnacentral:rRNA from 1 species